CAUCCGCUACUAGGUGCAUAAUAUUAUCAUUCUUCAAAAUUCUGUCAAUUAAUGUAUGCUAUAUGAUUAGCUCACCUGAUUUCCACCAAGCACAAAAGUAAAAAUAUUACAAUUAUUUCUAAAAUAUUUUCAUACUUCAAUCUCUAUGGUACAAACACUUGCAAUAUUUUCUCAUUUUGAAAUUGGAUAAACAGUUUACUCCAUUUACGCAAUGCCAAAAAAGUAUUCCAACUAUUCCUUAAUUCAUCAUAUCACAUCAAUGUCCAUCACAUAUAUAUAUAUAUAUAUCUUUUUUUUUCUCUUUAUUUAAAGUCAGAUAUAGUCAAAUUGAAAGUACGAGACGAGAUGAAACUGAAAGCGCAAUGCACAGAUGUAGGGAUGCACAUGGUGCAGUAGAAAGUAGAAAGCUACUCUCUCUCUCUCUCUCUCUCUCUCUCUCUCCCCUUACUUUUUCCCUAGCAUGAAAGGUCAAGUUGCAUGAAUCCUCCUCUCUCUCUCUCUCUCUCUCUCUCUCUCUCUCUCUUAAAAGAAUGUAUAAUUACAAAGCUGAGGUGUUCUCUAUCUACUAACAGCACAAAGAUAACAUGGGAAGAUUCCCAGGGAAGCCAAAAUGAAAUGCUCUCUCAAGUGCUCUUUGUUCACUUGGCCACAAUAUAAGGCUAAGGGAUUUAAAAUUCUAAAAUUAAUUGUUGGGUUUUUCAUUCAUAUAUAUGGGGAGGAGAAUCAGGAGGAAAAGAAGGUGAAAGGUAGUUGAGAAAGGUUAUUGAGUAUAUAUUAAUUUGAUUUGAUUUGUAUGAAAGGACAAUGGUCAUGGUAGUUUUGUACUAUACAUGUCUCAUAACUAAUCCUUUUCCUCUACAAGUUGAGUUAAAGUAAAGCUUUUGUUUUUUUUUUUUUUUUUUUUUUUUUUUNAUAUUUUAUAAUAAUUUACUAAUAUGCUGAUUUGAAAAACUGCUACAAUUCACAAAAAAAAAGAGUUUAAUUCAUGAGCAGAAUUAUAAUUUUAAUAAUAAAAAAAUUAAAAGAAAACUAUCACACAAAAUUUUAAAUAAAAAGUAGUAAAACUAGCUAGUAUAAGUGGGCAAAGCAUUUUCUUAAUGAAUAUUUAUAUUUAUUAUAUAUGUACUCAGACGUUUAAUUCGAUUGAUUUUUUAAAUAAUAUCGUAUCGCGGCUAAUUUUAAAUUCUGUCAAUUUUCUUAAAUCAUAAGUUCAGAUAUCAAAUUGUAAAAAUUGGAUAACAAGAAACAUUAUCCUGUUUAGAUAAUUCACUUAAAAAAAAGAAAAAAAAAGAAAGAAAGAAAAGAUGAAUCCAAUAAUGCAUCUGUGGGAAUGAAUCCUCUCCUAGGGCUUCUAGAGCCCCAGUAGUUCUACAAAAGGAGAUAAAAAUUUAUAAUAAAAAAGGACUAUUUCAAGUGUCAGAUGACUCUGUACUAUUCAACUAGGUUUGUUAUAGGAGUUCAAAAAAAAAAAAAAAAAAAAUUUUCCCAAAACUUCCAUUAAUAUUUCUUUUUGUUUAAAAGAGCAUGUGAGAAAGUGUAUAAAGAGCCAAAUUUUUUACUGUUGUUGUAUAAAUAGAUUAUUUAAGGAGUCUCUGAUGUGAACAGCAGUGGAUUCAGAGGAAUUAUUAGUGCUUUUUGUAAAAGCAGAUUUAACAUCUGAAAAAAGUCAAAUCACUUAUUUUUUUUUAAGUCCCUAUAAUUGUUAUUUAAGUUGGGUUUAGUAAAAUCAUUUAGUAGCUUUCUAUUAAAUUAAGCCCUUUUAAUUUCUAUGCAAGAUAUGUAUUUUACCUAACAACUUCAAGAUCAAGCAAGUGUUUCACUCAAGAAAGUAUCCACUUAAUGCUAAGUAUUUGUUCGGCCCGCUUUAAUUUGUAUUUUUAGUUACUGAAUCUGUAAUGUAGUAUUUUUCAAAUAGAAAAAUUUAAAAUUUUUGUUACGAUGAGAGAUAAGUAUAUGAUUUGGAUGCUCAAAAAUUUUUUUAGUGAAUUAUAGUAUAGUGUUUGUUGAAUAAUAUUGUACUCUAUAGUAAGACCAAAUAGAUCAUCAGUAUAUUUUCACACUUUUCACAGUUAUUCUCUUCCCACCCUAAACCAAAAAGUUAACCUAAUAGACUAUAUAACUUUGCUAUAAAAACUUUAAGAAAAGAGCUUUAUUAUUAGCUUCAAUCUUCAUCAAGAAGGUUAAAAAAGCUUAAUAAACUCUCUCUCUCUCUCUCUCUCUCUCUCUCUCUCUCAAACACAAAAGAAGAUGAAAAGGACAACCUCAACUCAUAUGAUAGCACAUUCUAUCCACAUUUGAUGUUUGGAACAUGUCUCCAAUUAAAUUAAAGGAUAAACUUUAAAAACCAUACCUGUAGUGUCGCACUUCUCACUUCAGUAUUAUGUAGUUAAAAAUGUAUCAAGUUAGUUUUCUAUGAUUUCAUUUUUAUUUUUUCAUCAACUUUUUCAUUAAUAUUUCGUUAAAUUAUAUACAAAAAACUUUAAAUUUUCUAUCUAGAUUUAUUGAAUAUUCACUUUAGUAUUCUUUAGUUUUAACUUUGUCACUCAUAUAAUGAAAAAAAUUAGUAGAAUCGAUAAUAAACCUUAAACCCUAAAUCAACAAAAAAAUCACAUGACACUAAAUUGAUACACUUUAAACCACAAGGUGUGAAACAACCGGGGUGGAAUUUAAAGUUUUUCCUAAAUUAAAAUCCAAAGGCUAAAUUGCAUUUUGGUCCUCAAACUAUGAAGCGCAUAACACUUCGAUCCUCAAAUGUUAAUUUGUUAUAAUUUCAAGUCGGAAUACUUUAGUUAUUGCAAUUAAGUCCUAUAGUAUAAUUUAGUUGGUUAAAUAAUAAUAUAUCGUUUAUGUGGUAAUGAUACAACAGUAUGAGUUGUACCGACUGUCCCUAGCGCAAGUGGCAAAGGGUUUGGCUGUUGGUAUCCGAGGUCCCGAGUUCGAAUCCGAAUUGAUUCACAUAUUCAGCUAAGUUUAUUUUUAAAUGAAAUAAACGAAACGGAUAGCAUGCUAUCUAUCUCUCUCAAAAACAAAAAAAAGAUACAACAGUAUGAAAUUUAAUUGCAAUAAUUUAAAAAGUUGAAUCAAAAGUUAUAAUAUAUUAAAAUUUGAGAAAUGAAAUGUCACUAGUUUAUAGUUUGGGGAUCAAUAGUGCAAUUUAGCCAAAUCCACAUCUAAACUCUCCUACUAAUUGAUCUCUCAUUACAGCCUGUUUCAGAGCCCAUAACCCCCACGAGCUCUCAAAUAUUUUAAUUUAAAAAAAAUAAAAAACAAAUAAAACAAUCACAACAUUAAGCAAAAACCUUAAAAAAUGUUAAAACCAUUUCCUCCCAUCUCCAUCAUCAUCUACAUAAUAUAUAUAACCAAAAACUCUAACUUCGUUUUCUCUGACCGUCGCGAAUGAUCUCUCUGUUUCUUUGGUCCAAAUGAAGCAGAGAUAAGAGAAAAAAAAAAAAAAAAAAAAAUUCAGCAGAGAAAGAGGAGCCACAUCGCAAUGCCUAACUAUUCUAAGUUGCUUCUCUUCUGCUUGUUCUUGUCCGUGACCUUGUUCUUCUCCUGCAAUGCAGGAGGGGCCGCGAGCAGCUUUGACGAGACGUNAAAACAAUAGGUUAAAAAUGUUAAACUAUAGACUUGAAUACUAAAUUCUUUUAACUGUCUUAAAUUUUAAUCGGCGCUAUGCUAUAAUAAAUUUUUUAGUUAGCUUAAUUUGCAGACUCAUGUAUAACAUCAUCCUGCUUAGAUAAUUCACUUAAAAAAAAGAAAAAAAAAAAAGAAGAUGAAUCCAAUAAUGCAUAUGUGGGAAUGAAUCCUCUCCUAGGGCUUCUAUAGCCCCAGUAGUUCUACAAAAGGAGAUAAAAAUUUAUAAUAAAAAAGGACUAUUUCAAGUGUCAGAUGACUCUGUACUUUUCAACUAGGUUUGUUCUAGGAGUUCAAAAAAAAAAAAAAAUUUAUAUUUUCCCAAAACUUCCAUUAAUAUUUCUUUUUGUUUAAAAGGGCAUGUGAGAAAGUGUAUAAUUAAAGAGCCAAAUUUUUUAUUGUUGUUGUAUAAAUAGAUUAUUUAAGGAGUCUCUGAUGUAAACAGCAGUGGAUUCAGAGGAAUUAUUAGUGCUUUUUGUAAAAGCAGAUUUAACAUCUGAAAAAAGUCAAAUCACCUUUUUUUUUUAAGUCCCUAUAAUUGUUAUUUAAGUUGGGUUUAGUAAAAUUAUUUAGUAGCUUUCUAUUAAAUUAAGCCCUUUUAAUUUCUAUGCAAGAUAUGUAUGUUAUCUAACAACUUCAAGAUCAAGCAAGUGUUUCACUCAAGAAAGUAUCCACUUAAUGCUAAGUAUUUGUUCGGCCCGCUUUAAUUUGUAUUUUUAGUUACUGAAUCUGUAAUGUGGUAUUUUUCAAAUAGAAAAAUUUAAAAUUUUUGUUACGAUGAGAGGUAAAUAUAUGAUUUGGACGCUCUAAAAUUUUUUUAGUGAAUUAUAGUGUAGUGUUUGUUGAAUAAUAUUGUACUCUAAAGUAAGACCAAAUAGAUCAUCAGUAUAUUUUCACACUUUUCACAGUUAUUUUCUUUCCACCCUAAACCAAAAAGUUAACCUAAUAGUCUCUAUGUAACUUUGCUAUGAAAACUUUAAGAAAAGAGCUUUAUUAUUAGCUUCAAUCUUCAUCAAGUAGGUUAAAAAAGCUUAAUAAACUCUCUCUCUCUCUCUCACACACAAAAGAAGAUGAAAAGGACAACCUCAACUCAUAUGAUAGCACAUUCUAUCCACAUUUGAUGUUUGGAACAUGUCUCCAAUUAAAUUAAAGGAUAAACUUUAAAAACCAUACCUGUAGUGUCGCACUUCUCACUUUAAUAUUUGUAGUUAAAAAUGUAUCAAGUUAGUUUUCUAUGGUUUCAUUUUUAUUUUUUCGUCAACUUUUUCAUUAAUAUUUUUUGUUAAAUUAUAUACAAAAAACUUUAAAUUUUCUAUCUAGAUUUAUUGAAUAUUCACUUUAGUAUCCUUUAGUUUUAACUUUGUCACUGAUGUAACAAAAAAAAUUAAUAGAAUCGAUAAUAAACCCUAAACCCUAAAUCAACAUAAAACUACAUGACACUAAAUUGAUACACUUUAAACCACAAGGUGUGAAACCACCGGGGUGGAAUUUAAAGUUUUUCCUAAAUUAAAAUCCAAAGGCUAAAUUGCAUUUUGGUCCUCAAACUAUGAAGCGCGUAACACUUCGAUCCUCAAACGUUAAUUUGUUAUAAUUUCAAGUCGGAAUACUUUAGUUAUUGUAAUUAAGUCCUAUAGUAUAAUUUAGUUGGUUAAAUAAUAAUAUAUCGUUUAUGUGAUAAUGAUACAACAGUAUGAGUUGUACCGACUGUCCCUAGCGCAAGUGGCAAAGGGUUUGACGGUUGGUAUCCGAGGUCCCGAGUUCGAAUCCUAGUUGAUUCACAUAUUCAGCUAAAUUUAUUUUUAAAUGAAAUAAACGAAACGGAUAGCAUGCUAUCUAUCUCUCUCAAAAACAAAGAAAGAUACAACAGUAUGAAAUUUAAUUGCAAUAAUUUAAAAAGUUGAAUCAAAAGUUAUAGUAUAUUAAAAUUUGAGAAAUGAAAUGUCACUAGUUUAUAGUUUGGGGAUCAAUAGUGCAAUUUGGCCAAAUCCACAUCUAAACUCUCCUACUAAUUGAUCUCUCAUUACAGCCUGUUUCAGAGCCCAUAACCCCCACGAGCUCUCAAAUAUUUUAAUUUAAAAAAAAAAAUAAAAAACAAAUAAAACAAUCACAACAUUAAGCAAAAACCUUAAAAAAUGUUGAAACCAUUUCCUCCCAUCUCCAUCAUUCAUGUACAUAAUAUAUAUAUACAUAUAACCAAAAACUCUAACUUCGUUUUCUCUGACCGUCGCGAAUGAUCUCUUCGUUUCUUCGGACCAAAUGAAGCAGAGAUAAGAGAAAAAAAAGAAAAAAAAAAUUCAGCAGAGAAAGAGGAGCCGCAUCACAAUGCCUAACUAUUCUAAGUUACUUAUCUUCUGCUUGUUCUUAUUCGUGACCUUAUUAUUCUCCUGCAAUGCAGGAGGGGCCGCGAGCAGUUUUGACGAGACGUCAGCGCUGCUCGCGUUUAAAUCGGCUCUGGUCGAUCCGCUCGGCGCGUUAAGUGGCUGGGCCAGCGGCCUCCCGCACUGUGGCUGGCCCGGCGUGGGCUGCGGCACAGCCGGUACCGUCCUGCGGCUCGACCUCUCCUGCAUGAACCUCAGCGGCACCGUCUCCGACGACAUUCUCCGCCUCCCGAGCCUCGCCUAUCUCAACCUCUCGUACAAUUCAUUCUCCACCGCGCUCCCCGCGUCCCUCGCCGCGCUCUUGGCGCUCGAGGUGUUCGACGUGAGCCAGAACAACUUCGCGGGCGAGUUCCCCGCCGGGCUCGGCGCCUGCGCCGGCCUUGUAACCGUCAAUGCGUCCGGGAACAACUUCGUCGGCGUGUUACCGGAGGACCUGUCGAAUGCGACGUCGCUAGAGGUCAUCGACCUCCGCGGGAGCUUCUUCGAGGGCCCGAUACAGCCGUCCUACGGCAGCUUCCGGAAGCUCAAGUUUCUAGGCCUCUCCGGCAAUAACAUCACCGGAAAGAUCCCCGUUGAGCUCGGCGGCGUCUCCUCGUUGGAGAAGCUCAUAAUUGGAUACAACGAGCUCGAAGGGACCAUCCCCGCGGAGUUCGGGAACCUCGCGAAUCUCCGGUACCUCGACCUCGCGGUCGGGAACCUGAACGGACCGAUCCCGCCCGAGUUAGGCCGGCUGCGGAGCCUGACCACGCUCUACCUGUACAAGAACAAUCUCGACGGCAUGAUCCCGAAGGAGAUCGGGAACGCGUCGGCGCUUGCCUAUCUCGACCUCUCCGACAACUCGAUCGCGGGGCCGAUACCGGCCGAAUUGGCGCAGCUGGCGAAUCUGCAGCUGCUGAACGUCAUGUGCAACCGGCUGAAGGGCCCGGUACCGGCCGGGAUCGGGGAAUUGGCGCGGCUGGAGGUGCUGGAGCUGUGGAACAACUCGCUGACCGGCCCGCUCCCCGCGGGGCUCGGCCAGAGCUCUGCGCUGCAGUGGCUCGACGUGUCGUCGAACAUGCUCUCCGGCCCGAUCCCCGCCGGCCUCUGCGCCGGCGGGAAUCUCACCAAACUGAUACUCUUCGGCAACAACUUCUCCGGCGGCAUCCCGGGCAGCUUGGCCACGUGUGCUUCACUCGUGCGCGUGCGCAUGCAGAACAACCGGCUCAACGGCACCGUCCCCGGCGGCUUUGGCCGCCUCCCGCGGCUCCAGCGGCUCGAAUUGGCGGGCAACGAGCUCGGCGGCGAGAUACCGACCGACCUCGCGCUAUCGACGUCGCUGUCAUUCAUCGAUCUUUCGCACAACAAUCUCCGGUCGUCGCUUCCCUCGAACAUCCUGGCCGUGCCGACGCUCCAGAGCUUCGCGGCAGCCGACAACCAGCUGACGGGUGAAAUCCCGGACCAGUUCCAGGACUGCCCGGCGCUCGCGGCGCUCGACCUGUCGAACAACCGGCUGACCGGCGGCGUGCCGCCGGGCCUGGCGUCCUGCCAGCGCCUCGUGAAUUUGAACCUCCGGAGCAACCGGCUGGCUGGCGACAUACCGGCAGCGAUCGCCGCCAUGCCGGCGCUUGCCGUCCUCGACCUUUCAAGCAACUUCUUCACCGGCCCGAUACCGGAGAACUUCGGCAGCUCCCCGGCGCUCGAAACGCUCAACUUGGCAUACAACAACCUCUCCGGCCCCGUCCCCGGCAACGGAAUUCUACGUUCCAUCAAUCCCGAUGACCUCGCCGGCAAUCCGGGGCUCUGCAGCGGAGUGCUCCCGCCAUGCUCGGGUGCGAUCGGCCGCGAAUUCCCGACGACGAGCGAAAGGAUCGAGCACCUGAAGCAUAUUGCCGUCGGGUGGCUGGCGGGGAUUGCCGUGGUGGCUGCAUUGUGUGCCGCGCUCUUCGCCGGCCGAAUUGUGUACCGGAGGUGGUACGUGGACCGUGGCGGCGGCGGCGGAGGGUGCUGCGAUGACCACGUCGACGAGGAAAGCGGUGCAUGGCCGUGGCGGCUCACGGCGUUCCAGCGGCUUGGCUUCGCGACCGCCGACAUACUCGCCUGCGUCAAGGAGUCCAAUGUGAUCGGCAUGGGCGCCACCGGGAUUGUGUACAAGGCCGAGCUGCAGCGGCCGCAUUUGGUGAUUGCCGUGAAGAAGCUGUGGCGGCCGUCGAGGGCCGAGGGUGUGGGAUCGGAGCCCAGGUGCGAUAUCGCGGCGGCGGAAGUGAGCGUGCUGGGCCGGUUGCGGCACCGGAACAUAGUGCGGCUGCUCGGGUACCUGCACAACGACGCUGACGCGAUGCUGCUGUACGAGUACAUGCCGAACGGGAGCCUGUGGGAGGCGCUGCACGGGCCAGGAGGUGCUGGAGGGGGCCGGGUGCUCGCCGACUGGGUGGCGCGGUACAAUGUUGCACUGGGAGUGGCGCAGGGAUUGGCAUACCUGCACCACGACUGCCACCCGCCAAUCAUCCAUCGCGACAUCAAGUCAAACAACAUCCUGCUCGACGCGAACAUGGAGGCCCGCAUCGCCGACUUCGGGCUCGCGAGGAUGGUGGCGCACAAGAACGAGACGCUUUCGGUGGUCGCCGGAUCCUACGGCUACAUUGCACCAGGUAUUUGUCGGUAGUUCUCAGGCGUGAGACCGUCGAAUCCACCGUUUUGAUGCUAAAAAGUGUUUGAUGAAUUGCGCAGAGUACGGGUACACUCUGAAGGUGGAUCAGAAGAGCGACGUAUACAGCUACGGAGUGGUGCUGAUGGAGCUCCUGACAGGGAAGAGGCCGAUCGAGCCGGAGUUCGGGGAGAGCCAGGACAUAGUCGGGUGGAUCCGCGAGAGGCUGCGGAGCAACCGGGCGGAGGCGGUGCUCGACCCGAGCAUCGGCGGGGGGCAGUGCAAGCACGUGCAGGAGGAGAUGCUGCUGGUGCUGCGGAUCGCGGUGCUCUGCACCGCGAAGCUGCCCAAGGACCGGCCGUCGAUGCGGGACGUGCUCACCAUGCUCGGCGAGGCGAAGCCCCGCAGGAAGAGCGGGAGCUCCGGGGGCGGGAGCGGCGGCACGGCGGUGGCGAGCAAUGUGGUGGACAAGGAUAAGCCCGUGUUUAGCACCUCGCCGGAAUCCGGGUACCUUUGAUUCAGAAUAAGAGGCUCUCUUAUGGUUCAAUGUUUUGCUGAUUCUUAAUUUUGUAUGUAGUUUUUCUUCUUUUCUUUUUUUUUCCCUUCAUUUUUGAUUUGUAACAUUUGUGUAAGCAUGCACCAAUGAUAGUUGUGUAGAUUGAUUUUAUUAACAAAAAAACAAAGAAAAAUAAUUUGUGUAGAUGAAUGUAGGGAUUGUGAAUGAAUUAUUUCAGGAACUCAAAAGAUAGCCGGAUAAUAAUGCCAAUCUGAUUAAUUCAAUAAAAUCGUUACGAAUAUUAUACCAAAAAAAACAUCAAACCAAAUCAAACUCUCAAAUUUGACAAGCAAUUCAAAAAAAUAUUAUGAAAAAAAACAAGUUGUUUGUUUCAGAUUGAAUCAUAUUGCAAAGAAGUUGCAUUACAAAAAGGACUAUGAUCUGUUGGAUGAAGGCUUAUAUAGACAAAAGCCACUGAAAAAAAAGAAAAAAGAAAAAAAGAAAAAAAGAAAGAAAGAAACCACCUUGUUAUCUCUGGACCUUGAAAUUGCUCCCUCUUGAUUCCUGUUUCGAACCAAACACAUCAUACAACAGUAAACUGCGUCGGGGAAAAGCAAUUUCAAAAAUAUCGAAGUACACAACAUUGUAGCCCUUAGCCGCACCAUUGCCCACUUCAUAUAUACAGUGAUAAAUAUGAAACAUUGAUCAACUGAGUAACUAUAUUCCGGAGUUUUCUGUAUUGCAUAUUGCAUUUACAAGAGCCAUGGUUUCGUUUAUACAAACAUCGUUAUUAAGACGAUCGUAUAUAGUAUCUCAAAAAGAAAAGAGAGAAACAUACUGCAAAAUUUCCGAUCUUUGAGAGCUGUAGAUCUUAGAACCACCAAAAAGACAGUGCAGCGGCAGCAGCUGGAUCACGCAAGAUUGUGUCAUCGGUGUUCCAUUCUGAACGGUCAUGAUUGAGCUAAAUUUCGUGUUGGCAGCAGAAGAAGUAUGCCUACGACUUGAUUGGAUAUAGAAAUGUGAACAAAUAGAGAUUGAACUUCCGUUUAGAACAUGAAUUACAUCAGUGAGAUAAAAAGUACAAGAAACAGCAGUAGCUAGAGAUAAAUCAGAUAGGAAAGAUAGAUACCAUUCAAAGCACCACCAUCUAUGUAAGAAAGGCUACUAACCAUCGCAUUUACAACUCAGAAGCACUACUAGUUGUUAAAUUACUCCUGACAAAUUAUCCAGCUUGAAUUUUCAGUCUAUUGAGACAAUGUAGUUUAUCUUCUGAUGGAAAUUUCCAAAAAGAGAGACAUAAUAAGCUUUUGUAAUGAUAAGGCAAGGGGUUUGGGUAUAUAUGCAGACACAGAUGUGAAGAUGUGAAAACUUUCUACUGAUUCUGAUGAUUUCGACCUCACAACAUCAUAUAAUAUUCUUUCAAGAUGAAAGUGAAUCUAAAUGCACAGUAUAUGAUAACUAUCAGACAAUUUUUUGCUCAAUGUAUUAUUGUCAUGAAACACAUAUUUCUCAGGUAGUAAAGCAACAAGUUCAUAUACAUCCAACUUGCCUGACAGAAAAACGGCACAGACAACAAACUCCACUGCAGACUGAAAGUAACUAUUAUCACAUAACCAAGUGAUUGACGGCCUGCAAAAGUGACCUUUGAGUACAGCUGUUUGAAAAUGCACUAGAAACUUCCCUACCAAAAUAUGUUUUGUCAAUUUUUUGCUUUGGCACAAGUAGAUGAUUCACAUUAAAGCUUCUAUUUUUAAAAUCCAAAAGCUAAUUUUGACUUGCCCCACGGCAACAAUUCCAAACUUUUGAUAGAAUAGAGAAGAUACUUCAGAAGCAAGACAAAUAGACACUAAAGAAUAUUACAACAGCUAUUGUCCUCUUUUCGGGUGGGAAACUACAGAAGAGAAACAUUUUUUCUUGGACCAUUUGUUUAUUGGGUAUGUCUCAUUUCAGACUAUAUACACCAACUCGACACUAUGCUGUGCCAUGCACUAAGUAGCCCUAACUAACAUUGAGGCUUGCACUUAUAGCACUUGCAGUGUGUCUGCGUACAAGAUUAUAAGUUCACAACAGAAGCUUACCAAGUUCAUCCGUUUGAAUGUCACGGAUAACUACUUCUGUCGUGCUGAGUGCCAAGCAAUUAAUGAAGGUGACAAAGGGCAGAAUAAAACCUAUUGUACACCUAAUAGAGAUUACUAAAAGUAGUAGCACAGGGCAAGGCACAAAAUGUAGGACAUUAAAGGUCGAUCUGUUCAUUUCAGCUCCCCAAUGAGAGCAUACACAUUACUAUCAUUACCUGGUGACAUGUAAGGUAUUCUAAAAGGAAGUGAAUAUGAAAAUUCUACACAGUACAUGUGAAUCAAUAGUUCACCUGCUGGCACAAACAUCAUUUAUAGGUUCUAAAGAAAUCAAACUGACAUGGUCUGCAGCUGUAUCUCUGUAUCAUCUUGACAGAAGAUUUUGCAACUAAUACAUUAAAAAUCUAUGAUCAUUAUACAUUGAUAUUGGAUCAUUGGUUCUGAAAACCUUAAGGCGUAGGUGGCCUUGUAAACACAACAUACAUCAUAGCGCAACUAAUUGCAGCAGAAAAAAACCUAGUUAGAAGUUUACUGCAGAUUAACAUGCAACGAAUUCUAGGGAUAUUUUGAGAACAAAAACAUGCUCUUUCCACCCAAUAUAAAUUUUGGUAGUACAGAAAACAAGUAUUAACUAAUCUGGAACGAAUGAGAAGGUUACCAUCAAGGAAAAGAAAGCUUACCUCUCACAUCAAAGAAGUCCCUGAUGCCACAGGCACAGUGUCAAAAAAGGCUUCUGUAAUACCUUCAAAAUCUACAAUCUACUUCCCACAGGGAAUCACCCUAUGGUUGUUCAUCUCAAAAUGAUUCAAAAAAAAAAAAAAAAAAAUCUACGUUCUACCAAAGAACACUUUAGUGUCACUAUUGAGCUAACAUCCCGACGCAUUCUUGCCCUAUCCCAUAGUCGAUGCUCAGCUCCCGCAGAGGCGGAAUGUUCUCCAUAGCAAAGAUCAUUAUAUGAGGAUACGAUUCAGCAUCAUGACCAUAGAGCACAAACUGCACAAACACAUUUGGCACACUACUGUGGCUGAUAUAGCAGGCAACAUUCCGCUUCCUCGAAACAUCUAAAAAGUAACCCAGCUCGGGCCGAUUGGCAAACUCCGGGGGUGGGCGGUCGGGGAUUGCCUCAGAAACAUCACCCCAUUCCCUCCAUCUUUCUGGGAAUCGGGUGGGAUCGAUCAAAUAUGUAGCGUGCUCCGCAGAAACAUACUUAGCCUCCUCCCUUGUGAGCACCUCCCCGCUGAGCUCGCAAACGAAAGACCCGGCCUGAAUCACAUCCAAAGACCGGACCCCCCACCCCGUGUCUCUCGACCUGAACACCUCCAACUGAUGCCUCAUCCCCUUCUGCGCCACACGGUUAGGGCACGUCGGCGGGCACUUGCACGAAUCUCCGCACUCGAAGAUCACCGGCCGCCCUCGCAGGAGGACGCCGUUGCUAUAAGCGAACCCACACUUGUUCCUUUUCUCGCAGAGGCAAUUGGUCGAGCAAUCGGCGACACAUUUGCAGCCUCUCGGCGCCACCGCAGGGGAAGGGAAAUCAGGGCGAGCGACGUAGUCGAACAGCCGAGGAUCGACGUCCUCAUCGAUGUUGUUGAACAGCGGGACGGGGAGGAGCUCCCGCUUGCGCGAGAUGUCGCGCUUGGCAUAGCCCUCCGGCUUCGCCCCCGCGGCGAGCUGCGCCUUGAGGUGCUCGGCGAGCUUGAGGUUCUUAAGGCCGCAGUCAUCUUGGCCCUGCAUGCGGAGGAGCUUGAAGCGGAAGACAUGGCACCCGGAUCGGCCGACAUGGCGGUCGCAGUCGACGACCUUGUAGAGGCCGUCGUAGACGUAGACGCGGCCGGUGGGGGUGGCGUCGGCGGGGUGGGCGCGCACGACGCGGAGCUCGAUGCCGUAGGUCAUGCUCCGCUCGAGGGCGAGGUUGCCGCGCUCGAGCUUCUGGUCGGCGGAGUGCCACACGCUGUUGCGGCCGACGCGGCCGCCGCUGCCGGUGUAGACGAGGACGUCGUCGGCGGCGUCCUCGUCGUCCUGGUAGCCCCCGGAGGAGACGAUGCUCACGGCGAUGGGCUCGCCCUCGGGGACCUGGGACGCGGGGACGAAGUCGAUGCCGGCCUGGACGGCGCCGUGCACGCCGAGGACGCACAGCUCGGCGCGGUAGAGGAACACGUCCCCGACGGCGACCCCCGGGAUGGGGCCGACGAUGCGGCGGUCGCGGUGGAGCCACAGCCCGCGAUCGGUCAUCGUCUUCGCGGCGAUCAGGUCGGGGCGCCGGCGGCGGCCUGGGGACCCCCCCUCGCCGCCGCCGCCGCCGCCGGUCUCGUCCCGGAUGCUGCGGCGGCGAGCGUAGAGGCAGCGGAGGGAGUCGUAGGUGAGGCGCGCGCGGCGGACGAGGACGCGGAAGUAGGCGUGGUCGGCGGCGCCGAGGUGGGAGACGCGGACCAGGCCGCCGGAGCGGCGGCGGUUCUUGGGGCUAGGGUUCGCUAGGGCGACGGAGGAGAUCACGGAGGAGGGGGAGGGGGUGGCCGCCACGGCAGCGGCGGGGGAGGUGGCCGCUGAAGCGGCGGCGAGCUUGAGCUUGGCGAGGAGAAGGUAGUCGGAGAGGAGCGCGUCGUCGCGGGCGGCGGCGGGGGAAAGCUCGUCGAGGAGGCGGCGGAGGAGGUCGGGGGUGAGAAGCUGGCUAGGGUUUUCGCCAUCGCCGCCGCCGUCUCCGCCACCGUCUCCGCCGCCGCCAUUGAACUCGGAGGGCUCGAGCUUGGGGACGACGACGCCGGGAGUGGAGAGGAGGGAGAAGAGAGGGGAUUGGAGCGGCGAAGAAGACGACGCCAUUAGAGCACGAGAGAGUGAGCUCGAGCGACACGCAGAUUUCGAAUUUUUCGUCUUAAUGUUACUAAAAUACCCCUUCUCUUACGCCAAAUUACACGAACCAUUCACCGAAACUAAUUCGCUGCACCCGGUGUACAAAUACAUUUCAUGCACCACAACUUAAGUUCCUAUAAUAUAAAAAGAGAUAUCCACAAAUUUAAUUUUAAUUUUUUAUUAUAUUAAUUAUAGUUGUGGUUCAUGAAAUGUGAGUAUACAUCAAGUGCACGCAAAAUAAUAAUAAGAUUGUGUCUUUUUUCUUUUUUAAAAAAUUAAUUUUCUUUUCGCUUUGCAUUUCUUUGCAGUUUCUGUACGAUACACCAAUAAGACCCUACCAUUUAUGGAAAGUUUUUAACUGCACAUGGUGUAUACAUAAAUAUCAUACACCGCAUAUAUUAAAUACAAUACAAAUAAAAAAAUACAUUAAAAAUUUAUUAAUUGCAAAUAGAUACACCUCCUGAAUCCAAUAUAAAUAAAUAAUCUAUUUUUAUAAAAAUUUAAAAUUUUAAUCUUGAUGCAGUUUACGGACACGUGGUGCGCCAAGUCCACGCACUAUUUCCCAGAAGCGGAGAAUUGGGAGGCGGGAAAUGCAGUGAAGGAACCCAUAUAUAUUUACCCAAACUAUAAGGCUUAAUUACAAAAAUACCUUAAAUCUCAAUUACUUUUUAAUAAGUAAUUUUUUUAAAAUUUUUAUCUUUGGUUGUGUUUAAUUUCGAUAAAUUUUAGGCUGUUGUUUGGUUCGUAGGAAAAUAAAUAAUUUAUUAUUAUUAUUAUUAUUUAGUAGAAAGAAAAAUAAUUAUAAAUAAAAAAUUAUUAUAUUAUUUUUUUCUUAUUAUAUAUAUAUUAUAGGAAUAAUUUCAUAGAUGCCCUUCUAGAAACUAUUAAUUUCAUCAAUACGCUUCUAAAAUUGAUAAUAUCACAAAUACCCUCCAAUAUGUUAAAAAUUAUCAUAAAUACCCUCCAUUAGUUAAAAUCCGUUAAGACCGGUAUAAAACGGAGUUAAAUUUUCAAAAUACCAUUUUUACCCUUUAUCUCUUAUUAGUAGCAGAAAUGUUAAGAGGUAUUUCAAGAUAUUUUUUGUAAAUUUAAAUUUGAGUAUUUAAUAUAUACUAACUGAAUUUAAAUAUGGAUAAUUCUUGAAUAUUUUUUUUCAUUUAAAUUUUUAUAUAUAAUUAUUUAUUCGAUAAAAUAUAAAUAGAGCCAUAAAAAAAUCCAAAAAUUCUCAUUUUUUUAUACACUGAAAUUAGUUAAUUUUUUAAAAAACUAAAAGUUAAUGGGAUAUCACCGAAAAAAAUAAAAGUUGAGGGAGCUCUUUCAAAAUGGCAUAUAGUUGAGGGGGUCUCCAUAUAUUUUUACUUAAGAGAAACUUAAGGGUAAAUAAGUCAUUUUAAAAUUUAACCCAGCUUUAACUAUUUAAUAACUAUGGUAAAGCUAACAUAACUAACAGUAGGGGUAGUGAUGAUAAUUUUCUGUAUUUACAGGGAUAUAUGUGAUAUUUUAAACUUUAUAAGGAUAUCUAUGAUAUUUAAGACUUUAGGAGGGGUAUCCAUGAAAUUGCCCCAUUAUUAUAUAUAUAUAUAUAUAUAUUAUUAAUAGAUAAUAAUUAUUAUAUUAUAUAUAUUAGUAUUAUAAUUUGUAUUUAUAAACAAAAUAUAUUUAAACUAUAUUAUACAUUAAUUAAGUAUGUAAUAUGGCUGGGGCUACUAUACUCUUAUGAGUAUAGACCCUCUUAUACUCAUAAAUUUUUAACCGUUGAUUGAUGGGAUGUGUGGUUAGAGUGAUGGUGGUCCCCACCUAGAAUGAUAGUGGUCUCUUAGGAUUGAGCGAGUAGUUAGUUUAAUAGUAUGAUCUAACGGGUGAAAAUGAUCAAUAGAAUAAAUCGAAGAACCAAAAAUUUAUGAGUAUAAGGGAGCCAAUACUUAUAAAAAGUAUAGUAGCCGGACUCACGUAAUAUAAUAUAUAAUAUUAUAUAUUUAAUACUAUAAAAUAAGUUAUUAUGUAUUUAUAAAUAAUAUUUAUAUACAAAAUAUUACACAAUAAUAUAUUUAAAAAAUAAAAAAUUACAGUGGACUCACUUUCUCUCUUCUACAGUCCACGAGGUGAGGAUGAUCUCCUGGAUCGCGUGCUCAUAAGGCUUCUAAGUCGCAUUUUUUCAGCAAUGAGUUUUCGUUUUCCACAAAAAGAAGGUGAAAAUCGAAAAUUCGUUAUUUUUCGAGAAUCUGUAAAAAAAAAUUUUACAGGUAAUCAAACAUAGAAAAAAAAAAUUUCAACCGAAAAAAAAUUUUGCGGAGUAAUUUUACACAGAACCAACACAUCCUUACCUUUUUUUUUUUUUUUUCCAUCUCAUACAUAGUUUCUUGUAUUUGAUUGUAAUUUUCUAUAAAAAGUAAGUUUAUGAAUGGUACUAAGGUUUCAUUUUGGAUUGCGGAAAAAUUGUGUUACGUGCGGUGAGAAAGUACGAUAAAAAUAUAUUAUGUUUAUUUUCGUACAUAAUAUUGCGUUUCACAUAUCACGAUGAAUUUGUUAUGAUAUAUUUUUAGCUAAAUUACAAAAAAAACCCUGUAAUAACCCACUUUUCAGUUCCCCCCCUGACAUUUAGAAACCUACACUUUGCUUAGGGGGGUUACGGUGUGUAAAAUGACCAUUUUGCCUCUCGCCAUUUUCGUCUUCUUCCUCAUCUUCCUCAGCCGCCCUUUCGAUCGGCCGUGAUUCCCACCUCAAUCGGCUGCGAUUUCUCUCAAUUUCCUUCUCCACCUGCUCCCCUUCUCCUCCUGCACCCUCACCGUCUCUCGAUUUCGACGAUAGUUGGGAGAAAAUCGAGGUGAGUGUUGAUGGAGAGGUAGGUAAGGGCAACGAGGGCGAAGGCGAGGCGGCGGAGGAGGGCGAAGGGGAUGUGGGCAAGGGCGAGACAGUGGAGGACGGCGAGGUGGCGAGCCGGAGGGAGGCGAAGUAACAAGGAAGAGGGCGGAGGAGUAUUUUCGGCAUAAAAAAAUAUUUUAUAACGGAACCCUAACGGAACCUUAACGGUAGGGGAUGAAGUGCACAUUUUUCAUUUUACAAGGGGAUAAAGUGUAGAUUUUUAAAUGUCAGGAGGGAAAAGUGAAAAAGCGGGUUAUUAUAGGGUGAUUUUCUGUAAUGUAGUAUAUAUUUUUUACGGUCCCAAUGAAGAACGUAGAAGUAUAUUUCUGUAUAUUUUUACCCUAACUUUAUUUUAUCUAAUAGCGUUUGAUAAAACUUAAUACCAAACUAAGUUUAAGUAUGUUUAGUAAAAUUUGUCUCUGUAAACUUAAUUUUAUAAAAGUUAGUAACAAAAUUAGUUUAUAAUUGUAAAUUUAUUUGGUGUAAAAAUAAGCUAGAAGAUAAAAAUCAACAAAAAAUUUAAAAUAGAAGGCAAAUGAGACAGGUAGUGAAUUUAUUAUUUUUUUUGUUUAUGUAAAAUGUAAUUAAAACAUUUGCUAUUUUUUCAGUAGGGAUAAUUGGUUACAUAUUUUUUAAUAAAAAUUCUGAGAUUACAUCAAUACCUUUUUAAUUUUAAAAUUAUAUAAUUUUAUAAACUUUUAAAACUUAUAAAUAUAUUUUCAACCUAGCCAACUCCAAACGCAUUUACUAAUGCGCAAAAGUUUAAUGCUUAUGAUAUUUUAAUUGUCAAAUUUUAAUUUAUUAUAUUUUUAAUAUAAUUUUAAAAUUAUUUUAGUAAUUAAUAUAAUUUAUUUAAUUAAAUAAUAAUAUAUUCUCAAGAUGAUGGCACAUCCCUAUCACAUUAGGAUUACAUCAGUAUUUAUUAAACUAAAUUGUACAUAGAAUAUUAUUACAAUAAUUUAAAAAAUGAAUAAAAUUAUAAUAUAUUUAAAUUUGAGGGUCAAAGUGUUAGGUUUUCCAAAGGUUGGGUAUCAAAGUGCAAUUUAGACUGUCCGGAUUCGAUGAAUCUGCUGUUCCCCGUGUUCCUCUCCUCCGCGAGGGGACAUCGAAUUCAGUGUCACGGUUAAGUUACACAUCCACAUCGUUACACUGAAGGAACGUGCGCACAACACACGAUAAAACCCGUUACACCGAAGAAACCUCCCGAGCCUUCUCUCGUUUCCCCCCUCGCGGAGCAACAAUGGCGGAGAGCUCAACCCUAGUGCGAGCUCUGUGCCCUAGCCUCGUCACCUCGCGUUGCGCUCGCGGUUUACCUCUCGCAGCCCCCUCGCCUCUCCCAUCUCUCCGCCUCCGCCGCGUCGGAGGAGUGGCCUGGCGAGGGCGUGGGCGAGGGGGCUCCUUUUCCGUGCGAUCCAUGGCGGCGGCGUCGUCGGCGUCGUCGGCGUCGUCGUCGUCGGCGUCCUUCGGAUCGCGAUUGGAGGAGUCGGUGAAGAAGACGGUGGUGGAGAACCCCGUGGUGGUCUACUCCAAGACCUGGUGCUCGUGAGUAUCCCCAAGUCUCGUCGAGUUCUAUGGUUUGUUAGUGGGAGUUGCUAGGGUUUUGAUCUCUGAUUUGGGGGUUUUUUUUUUGUGGGGGGAAUUUGAGGUAUUCGUCGGAGGUGAAGUCGCUGUUCAAGCGGCUCGGAGUGGAGCCGAAGGUUAUAGAGCUAGAUCAGCUUGGUGAGCACUUUGUUUUGGAUUUUUUACAUUUUCCUCAUCAUUUUUUGUGUAUUAUUCAGUUAAUUUAGGGUUUAGUGGUUGCUAUUUUCUUAAUCAAGGGAUUUGUUAUUGUAAUUAUUGGUCGACUGUUCCUUUCUUGAGAUUAAAAUACGGAAAUUGGUAUGACUAAAAUGGAUUACCUGGAUUUCCCACUAGAAAUUUGAUGUUUCGGAUAAGCUGCUCAGUAUACGCGAGUUGAUUAUGCAUGUUUGUUUACCAAUUCAUUCCAUGUCUUAAUGUAGCAUUGGUAGCUUCUCGAGAAGUGAAUGGCAGUGCUUCAUAUGUCAUCAAUCGACAAAUUAUUAGAUAAAUCCUUUAAAAAGUGGACAAUUUUUUUGGUUGUUUUGUGUUUACCAUGGUAUGCAUGGCACGAAUGAUAUGCACAACUAAUAGCUCAAAAAUAAUUGAUUAAUGAUUAGAGAAGCAUUGGAUUCUUGAUCUAGAGUAAGUUAACAGAUUUUGAAAGUUUGUGUUUAUAUGAUGUGGGGCAAAAAAGAAAGCCUGUACAGUACUUGAUAAUAAAUGUGCAUAUUGCAGUAAAUAUAGUGCAGGCAUAGUAUGUAGGCUUGUUUAAUUGGUUAGGUGACAUUGAAAGGAGAGUCAUUGCUAUCACUUUUAGUCCUAUCAUCCUCUGACCCUCAUGUUUUUUCUGUCUUUUGAAUUUUGUACAUUAAUUAGAGGCCUUAGAAGAAGGCAAAACAUCUAUGUUGCCAUCUAUAUUCAUGCGUGGCUCCUCACUACCAAUUUAUGGUGUCUCAUGGUAGGUUUGUCCAUUUGAACUUGUUGAGGGUUUAGGGCCUAUAGGCUUAGCUUAGAUAAGUUGGGUAAUUGGCUAGCUUCUUUGCCGCUCAAAAUGAUCUGUUACUUGCACUCAUUUGUUCAAUUUGAUGGUUUCUGUGCUCAAAGUCACAUCUGCUAUCUAAAUGUAGUUGCCUCCUUCCACUCUGGACGCAUCCUGCUUUAAAUGACAUAAGAUGGUCUCUUUCGGUUUCUUUUCUCUUGCUAUAUCCCAACAUAUUGCUAAUCAUGUACUUUUAAGUAUUUCUCCUUAUGUUACCCUUACUAAAUUAUUUUGCAUUGUCCUAAUCACACCUUUACUUGUUAGAGAAUAAGACCUACUUAUUAUACUUCCUUUGUGACUGUGGUAUUAUUUCAAGCGGUUUUUCAGACUAUUUUGUUCAAUUCUGAGGCAGUGACGCUUUCACAUGUAAGAAGAGAAGUGGAUUGUGCCCACUUCGACUCUUUGAGGAAAACCUGUAUUGAUUAGGCAACAGUUGUAUGUAACCAUGAGAUAGAAAAAGAAGAAAAGUUAGAAAUAGAAGUUAGACUUGUCUUCAUUUUCCACUUAUCCACCUUACUUUUGAGAGUAAUAUGUACUUCCUUCCAUCAUAUUACUGAACACAAAAAAAUACAAAUUCUUGGGUCUUCCAGCCAAACAUCCACAAUAGGCUCUUCUUUUCAUGUCAGACUGGAUCCAAACCAAAUACCAUGUGAAAUGUGUGAUUGAAAUUUUAAGGGAUUGUUGGAGGAAGUGCAAAUUUGUCUUUGUAAUGUAGCUUGCAAGCUAGUAAGUGGUAAAAGUACAAGUUGAAUUAGUUGGUGUUUACAAGAUAGAGGAACAGAAAGAAUUAACGAGGUCGCAAAGUUUCUUGCUUUUUUCUUAAAAAAGUAGGAAAACAAGAACACCGCCAUCACCAAAUGAUGCUAACUUCAUAAUCUAUCAUGCUUGUUGGGAAAGGCCUCCAUGUAUGGAUGAGUUAAAGAGGUGCAAAUAAUAUGAUUUUUAAUCUUUUUGUGAGGAAAAGCAUCCUUACAGCAAGCUUUGCCCUCAGCAUCCACAAUUAAGCGUUCUUGGUUUUUCACUAGUCUAUUAUUUAAGAUCUGUUUGAGAAUAUUCAAUAUAGUGUUGAUAAGUGCUAUGUUAAGAAAACUUUGCACUUUCUUUGAUGAUAUGGUGAUGUCUCUGUGAAAUUGUUGUCCUCUAAAUAUCCAUAACAAUGUCAAAUUUAUUCUCAGGUCCUCAAGGGCCACAGCUACAAAAGGUGUUGGAAAGACUGACAGGACAAUCUACCGUUCCAAAUGUUUUUAUAGGUAUGCAAGACGACUUUACCCUCGAUCUUUGUGAUGAAUUCUAAUUCUCUCUUUGAGCUAUAUUACUUACCAAUUUGCAUCUCUAGUUGGGACAUAUGUAGUGAAAUGCAUUUGAUUUGUUAAGAUAUAUGUAAAUCCAGAACUAAUUGAUUACUGCAAAAUUCAACUUCUUUUAUUUUAUUUGAAACGUCUUGUUCAUUUAUAAAUAAAAUUUUGGUUGUUAAUAGUUUGCAUAAAAUUGUCAAGAUAACUUUUAAAGAGGUUAAGAAGAACAAGAAACAUGCUGGUGAAAUGGUCUGCUUUAAUUGUCUUUAAUAAAUUCUCUCUUUUUGAUACGAUCGACAUAAUUUAUCAACUACAAAAAAUAUACAUAAUUCUCUUACUUAUGGGCUUGCAAAGUAGUACUUCUAUGUGUUUGCGAUCCUAUAUAUCGACGGACUAUAUGGUCUCAUAGUCAGCAUUGCUCUAACUUGACAUUAAUAUAAUUAUCGUGUAUCUUAAAAUCUACUAAUUACUUUAUUUCUCAUAUAUGCAGGGGGAAAGCACAUUGGUGGUUGUACAGGUAAACAAUAAAUUUCCCUUUAUUUGUUGAUCUAGGCAACACAGUUCACUCUACAAAUGAUAGAUUCCUCUCUCGCCAGUAAUUUUUAAUGCUGGAAUUUCUAAUAAUUUGAUGGGUAAUUAUUUGAAUUAAUACUGUGAAAUGGUCCAAGAACUUGUUAAUGGACUAAUGGUUAUAAAGAGUAUUCUAUUUAAAAAUGCAUAGGCUUUCUCCCAGCGUGCAUUGUAUCCAUCUCCUGGAAAUUUCGCUAGACUGAAAUAAGGAAAACUCAAAAGCACAAUA
rnacentral:lncRNA from 1 species